GAUGAAGAACGCAGCGAAAUGCGAUAAGUAAUGUGAAUUGCAGAAUUCAGUGAAUCAUCGAAUCUUUGAACGCACCUUGCGCCCUUUGGCCAUUCCGAAGGGCAUGCCUGUUUGAGUAUCAUGAACACCUCAACUCGUCAUGGUUUUCCGUGGUGAGCUUGGACUUUGGGGGUCUUGCUGGCCUAUGGUCAGCUCCUCUAAAAUAAAUCAGCUUGCCAGUGUUUGGUGGGUAUCACAGGUGUGAUAACUAUCUACGCUUGUGGUUUUCCACCAGGUAACCUUCAGCAGUGGAGGUUCGCUGGAGCUCACAGAUGUGUCUCUCCUCAGUGAGGACAGCUCUUUGAAUGUUUGAUCUCAAAUCAGGUAGGACUACCCGCUGAACUUAAGCAUAUCAAUAAGCGGAGGA
rnacentral:misc_RNA from 1 species